AACCAUUGAACACCACUUCUAGGACAUAAGUCACUAACCUUUAGUGGUCCAAAGCGUUGGGUGAAACUUUGGGACUGUUGAGCACCCAAUUGAUAGUAAGCUCCGAAGGUCUAGGGUGUUGGGUGAUGAUGACAUACCUCCUAGCCAUAGUCCUAACACAUUCAAUAAGAGUUACAGUCAUCUAUGCAAGGUAAAACAAAGCUCUUCCCCUUAGGCCAUCAUGG
rnacentral:lncRNA from 1 species